rnacentral:rRNA from 1 species
UACGUAGGGGGCUAGCGUUGUCCGGAAUCAUUGGGCGUAAAGCGCGUGUAGGCGGUCCGGUAAGUCCGCUGUGAAAGUCGGGGGCUCAACCCUUGAAUGCCGGUCGAUACUGUCGGACUAGAGUCCGGAAGAGGCAAGUGGAAUUCCCGGUGUAGCGGUGAAAUGCGCAGAUAUCGGGAGGAACACCAAUGGCGAAGGCGAGCUUGCUGGGACGGUACUGACGCUGAGACGCGAAAGCGUGGGGAGCAACAG